AGAGUUUGAUCAUGGCUCAGAACGAACGCUGGCGGCGUGCCUAACACAUGCAAGUCGAGCGGGAAAGUUCCCUUCGGGGAGCGAGUACAGCGGCGAACGGGUGAGUAACACGUAGGUAACCUACCCUGGAGACUGGGAUAACUUGCCGAAAGGCGGGCUAAUACCAGAUAAGACCACGGGGGCUGUGGCUCCUGAGGCAAAAGGUGGCCUCUGCUUGCAUGCUACUACUCCGGGAUGGGCCUGCGCGCCAUUAGCUAGUUGGUGAGGUAACGGCUCACCAAGGCAGAGAUGGCUAGCUGGUCUGAGAGGAUGGCCAGCCACACUGGGACUGAGACACGGCCCAGACUCCUACGGGAGGCAGCAGUGAGGGAUAUUGCGCAAUGGGGGCAACCCUGACGCAGCGACGCCGCGUGGGUGAUGACGGCCUUCGGGUUGUAAAGCCCUUUUAGCACUGACGAGAACAAGGACGGUAGGUGCUGAAGAAGUCUCGGCUAACUACGUGCCAGCCGCCGCGGUAAUAC
rnacentral:rRNA from 1 species